rnacentral:rRNA from 1 species
CAGUCGCCGCGGUAACACGUAGGGUGCAAGCGUUAAUCGGAAUUACUGGGCGUAAAGCGUGCGCAGGCGGUUAUAUAAGACAGAUGUGAAAUCCCCGGGCUCAACCUGGGAACUGCAUUUGUGACUGUAUAGCUAGAGUACGGCAGAGGGGGAUGGAAUUCCGCGUGUAGCAGUGAAAUGCGUAGAUAUGCGGAGGAACACCGAUGGCGAAGGCAAUCCCCUGGGCCUGUACUGACGCUCAUGCACGAAAGCGUGGGGAGCAAACAGGAUUAGAUACCCCUGUAGUCCCUGUCUCUUAUAU